GGAAACCCUAAUAUAUUUAUUGCCUUUCUGAUAUGAAAAAGGACAAAUAUAAUAGCUUGGUCUGCAUGGCUAAAGAGCAGGAAAGAACCAAAUAAAAGACACUGACUAAAUCAUAGAGUAUUAGAGCUGCAAGAGACCAUCUCUCCAGUCCAAUGUUUCUUAAAGUGUGAUCCAAGGACCACCGACCUCAGCAUAAUUAGGGCCUCUUAUUGCAAAGUUAGACUCCUGAGCCCUAACUCAGACCUGGUGUUGGGUUCUACUUAGGAAUCACUCUCUUUCUCUCUCUCUCUCUCUCACACACACACACACGCACACACACACACAUGAUAUAGUAAAGGAUAGAACUUUAGACUUUUCCAAUUCCCUUUGCCCCUAUCAGUUUCUAAGGUUUAUAGAUUAUUUUUUGUCCAAUGUUUUUUCAUAGAGAGCCAUCCCUAUUUUCCAUUGGUGUCAUCAUCAUUCUAGUUCAGGUCUUUAUCAUCUUAUGCAACCCUGCUAACUGGUCUGUCAAAUAACACAGAUUUUUCAGGUUUUAGUAUAUCUAAUGCAUGACUAAAAUAGUAGUUUCACUAUAUUAUCCCUUGCUCAAAAACUUCUACAGUUUACCGUUGCCUAGAGAAUGUCCACCAAACUUGAAAACCCAUUAUUAUUUGUCUUUCAUAUAGCCCUGUUUUCUCUUUCUUGCCUAUCAUUAUUAUCUACCCAAUGUGAACAAUUAACUCUCUACUCAAAACACCAUUUUUGUUUCCCAGGGUAGGGGUUGAAUCUGAGCUACAGCUAUCAGCCUACACCACAGCUCAUGGCAAUACUGGAUCCUUAACUUAACCCACUGAGCAAGGUCAGCGAUUGAACCUGCAACCUCAUGGUUACUAGUUGGAUUAGUUUCCACUGCGCCACAAGGGCAACUCCUACUCUCCUACUCUUAAGAAACAUUCAUUAUAGUUUACAAAGCAAACUGCUGUUUGUAUGACACUGAAAAUCAGUCACUAGUUCCAUACAUAUUCUGGAGAAUUCUCUUGUCAUAUCAUGAGACUGAAAAUUCAAUCCAAAUAUAAGGGAUCAUUUUUUUAAAAGCCGUUUAAGGGAGUUCUCAUCAUGGCUUACCAGGUUAUGGACCCAACGUUGUCUCUUGAAGAUGCAGGUUUUAUCCCUGGCCUCACUCAGGUAACAGAUACGGCUUGGAUCCAGUGUUGCCUUGGCUGUGGUGUAGGCUGCAGCUGCAGCUCUGAUUCAACCCCUAGCCCAGGAACUUGCAUAUGCUACAAGUGCAGCCAUAUAAAGAAAAGAAAACAGAAAGGG
rnacentral:lncRNA from 1 species